rnacentral:rRNA from 1 species
UACGGAGGAUGCGAGCGUUAUCCGGAUUUAUUGGGUUUAAAGGGUGCGUAGGCGGAUGAGUAAGUCAGUGGUGAAAGCCUGCAGCUUAACUGUAGAAUUGCCAUUGAUACUGCUUGUCUUGAGGAUAGUUGAGGUGGGCGGAAUAUGACAUGUAGCGGUGAAAUGCUUAGAUAUGUCAUAGAACACCGAUUGCGAAGGCAGCUCACUAAGCUAUAUCUGACGCUGAGGCACGAAAGCGUGGGGAGCGAGCAGG